rnacentral:rRNA from 1 species
CCUACGGGAGGCAGCAGUGGGGAAUAUUGCACAAUGGGGGCAACCCUGAUGCAGCGACGCCGCGUGAGUGAAGAAGUAAUUCGUUAUGUAAAACUCUAUCAGCAGGGACGAAAAUGACGGUACCUGAUUAAGAAGCCCCGGCUAACUACGUUCCAGCAGCCGCGGUAAUACGUAGGGGGCAAGCGUUAUCCGGCUUUACUGGGUGUUAAGGGGGCGUAGACGGCAGUGCAAGUCUGGAGUGAAAGGGGGGGGCUCAACCCCCGGACUGCUCUGGAAACUGUAAGGCUGGAGUGCAGGAGAGGGAAGUGGAAUUCCUAGUGUAGCGGUGAAAUGCGUAGAUAUUAGGAGGAACACCAGUGGCGAAGGCGGCUUACUGGACUGUAACUGACGUUGAGGCGCGAAAGCGUGGGGAGCAAACAGGAUUAGAUACCCCGGUAGUC